AUCCCCAUGGACAGAGGAGCCUGGCGGGCUACAGUCCAUGGGGUUGCAAAGAGUCGGACACGACUGAGCAACUAGGCAUAGCGUAGCACUGGCUCUUGGGGAGGAGAGGGAAAGGGCUGUUGCAUUUCAACAGAAAAAGCCUUAAUGCAAACAGAUUUAUAUAGUGGACUUUUUGACACCUUGGCAGAUGGCAGAGAAGGUAUCUAGGCCUUGGGAAUCCUUCUGAUAUCUUACAAGCCACAUUGAUCAGACAGUCCUACUUCUGGAGUAAGGGUUGGCCUGGUAAGAGCUACAUUUGUCACUGAGAUAGUUUUCACUGCUACUUAUUUGAUAGUUUAUCAGUCUGAGUGUUUCUUAUACACUCAAUCUACUUUUAACUUUUUUUUUCCAAUUAUGUUAUGAGCAUAAUCACCUAUGUAUCUGAGGACAAAUUGCUUAUCCUCUUCAAACCCCAGAUUUAUUCUGAGCUCAUGAUAUGUCAUGGCACCAAAAAGGGGACUUUAACAUUGGCCUUCCCCUGAAUGACUUUACAGUCUGACACUUUUGGGCCUGGGCAAUGGAUAUAGAACUAAUCUGAGUCUCUAAUGAUAAACAAGAGUCUGAUACAUGGAAAGAUAUUUGAGGGAAUAGAGCUUUGAUGACCCACUAGUAAGGCAUGGCCAUAGAAUUCCUUUGGGGAACUGGCAAGAGACAUCAACUGGAUCUUCUGCCAGUGGCCUUGCCCAUGUUAUUGGGGCUCUGUCUACAGGUAGUGGUGAGCCUGGGAGGUUUUGCCUUGGUUUCCUCUCAUCUAUAAGAUAAUGGCAUUGCCCCAGCUCAGGGAAUAUGCACUGAAGGGCUUAAGGGGAUCAGCCAGGUAACAAAAUGCCAUUCCAAGGAUUUUUGUCUGAUGACACUAGCCUCAGCCUGGGGCAACAAUGUGGAUAGUGUAGACUCUAUGAGGGGUGGAGUGGGGGCUGAGUGGUUGGUAGGUGAAAAUGUAGAUCCAGUGUUUGCUUGUUUUCUCAAAUUUUAGAGGUACUAGUGAUCUGAAUUCUUACGCGAAGACUUUUAAUUUUUAAAAUAUUGACAAUUAAUUAAAACGAUGUUAAAAUGCCAUCUAAGUUAAUCCUGGGAAAACCCAAGAAGACAAUGUGUGGGAGCUGCCAAUUGUGAUCUCCAGACUAAAUGUCUCUGAAAACCUGUCCUGUUCUGGCAUUCUGUAACUCUCAGCCUCUCUUGACAUGUUAAGGAAUAGCACCAUGGGCUCCAUUGAACUGGCAGGUUGGCUAGGUUUUCAUUUGUUUAAGAGUUAGGGCUGUCACUUGACUCAGUUGUAAGAGUUUAUGCUUUAUCAACAAAAUUGGAAUGUGUCUUUUUCUUAUUUUCCACUUUCCAUCUUCCCCAAACACUACUCUGUCUUCUUUCUUCUCCCCUUGAAUUUAUGUUGUAAGCAGCAGGCAUUCUCUUGGCAGCAUGGUAGGAAACACUUUUUUUUUUUUUUUUAGGGCAUUUGUAUCCAGUGGGAACUAUAUCUGUUUAUUUCCUUCACCUGGCAUCUGUCCACAGGAAGCCAGGCAUUUCUAACCCCUUUACUUUACAGAUCUUCUUGUUUUGUGAUAACAUAGAAACAUUUCAAAGGAAUGGACUGGAAGGUACCCCUCCCACUCCACCCUGCAAUCUAUCUUGUGACAUGUUUGAGCAACACGAAAUAUAUAAUUAUAAGUCACUAUCAAAUGGGUUGGUUCCAGAUCAGAGAUUAAGAAUUAACCUUCACCUUCUGUGGGUUUUAUUUCCCGAGAUACUUGUCUCUUAAAUGCCCACUUAACACCACACAUACCACAUUCAGAAUUGAGAAAGGAUUUGAUCUGGGCACAGUAUGUGAGCACACGGAGAGACUAAAGCCAUUUAUUAGUGCCAACUUUUGCAGGGCCAAGGAUUAAGUGUGAAGGAGGAUUCUGGCAGUUGGGCUGAACAAAGACAUAAGACAUGUUUAAUACUCAGCAGGAUGCUUGGCAUAUAGUCCUUGCUCUGCAGUUUCCAAUAGAAAAGUCCUUGAGUCUCCAUCCAGGAGGUGUGGCCAGAAAGGACUAUUUUCAUAGUUGGGCCAUCCUGCAAGCACUGUUUUCAAGAGCCUGAAAUUCAAAAAGCUGGAGCCAAGGAAGGAGAUAUUAGAAUCUUCUUCAAACAUCAAAUUUCAUGGAUCAACACCCAUUUCCUGCACACAUAUAUAUGGAUGUAAAUAAGUAAAAUAUUUUCUACCUGUCAGUUACAAAGUAUCCUAACCAUGGGCAAUGCCACAAACUUCAGAAUCAGAGUCUGGCUCCAUCAUCUCCUGCUAGUAAAACCAAAUGUUUCAGCUGUACAGAAAAGGAGCUCUGGCAACUUCUGCUGAGACUUUUCAGUAGGAAAAGCUUCCCCAAAAAAAGCGACAGCUAUUUUGAAGGCCAACUUGCUAAAAUUAUAUUCAGAUGGCGUUCUCCAUGCCAUGGGGAAGAUGGCUCCUAGCAACCUCGAUCUCUUCUCAUCUAAGCAGCUCUUCUAUCAGCAAAGAAAGUAGGCUUCUUCCUUUUUGGUUUCCAAUCUGAAAACAAUUUCAAGCAUGAUUUGCACGGGAUCAACUUAAGUCACAUACUCCUCCUCAAACCAUGACAACCAGGAAGAUGAGCUUGAAGAAGGUGAGCAUGGUGAACUUGGAUGCCAUAUUUGAAAGUGUUGGAGCCACAAAAUGGAAGAAGGCCAGACCCCUGCAUGUUGUUUGGAGAAGAGUCAGGAACCAAUCAAGAACAUCUGUGUUAGCUUUUAAGUGAACAAGAGAUACACCAUCAACUUGGUUCCACCAUAUGUGUUGGGGUCAUUUUGUUACAGCAGCUAGAGUUAUCUUUUCCAAUGCAUACCUGAUUUGAGCUGAUCUGUUGUUCCUUGAACGUGCAUUUGGCUUUUGCACAUACUUUUCCUUGGGAUUCUUAUUCUAUUCUUCCAAAUAGUCACAUCCUAAAAAUUAUUCGAGGCCUAAACCAAGUCCACUCAUCUUCAAGCAGCUCUCUUUCACUCCCACUAGCUACAGUGCUUUCUUUUUCGCUUAACUUCCUAUACCACUUUGUUGAUUGUAUCUCUCAUGUGCUCUUAGCAUAGCUCUAAUUUUGGAUGUCUUGUUUUCCCAGUAAUCUCUUCAAGGUCAAGGAUCAUGUUUUAAAGCUUCCUGUAUGUCUCUGAAGUACAUAACAUGGUGGUGUGCCUUGAGAAUGCUCAAUAAAUGUCUGUGAGAAAAAUGAAUUUAUAUAUGUAUUAGACUCAAUAAAGUCCAUGUUCCCAAAAAUAGUCUUUCAUCACUCAAGCAGGAAGGCAUGUAAAUGUAAUUUACUGGAGUUUGUCUUUAUUAUUCUUUUCACCAACAUACACAUUCUAACACUUUUUGACAACUGCUUAGAAGAGACAGAAGGCAUGCUUAUCAAAUUUCAGAUGACACAAAACUAGAGGUAAUAAAUAAUGCACAGGAUGACAGAAUCAAAAUGAGGCAAGUUGGAAUGAAGCAGAUAACAUUUACUGGGGGUAACUGCAAAAUUAAAUUUUUUUAAAAAAGGCCCAAUUUCAGUAUGGAACAUGUGGCUAAUGUCAAUUUAUAGGAAAAAUCUUUCAGGUUUUAACUGGCUGCUGGGUUGACAUGAGCCCCGAGUGGAUACAUGGGACUUUGUUUAUAAUUAGGCUCAAGGCACUUGGUGGCAAAGUACUCAGGCUUUAACAAGGCAUGGGCAUGAAUUAAGCUUGCUAGGUGGGGACCAAUGGAGGUAGAUGAAACCUCAAUGUUAAGUAAAGAGGGGAACAAAGUCCCAUAUUUUAGCCUGGGCAAGCUCAGCACAUGAGGUAACUUUCACCAGUAGCACUGGUGGGAAUCCCCGGCUGAGGACACCAUCAAGUAAUUUCUGGACACUAAUUUGGUGCCAACAGCAUGGGUCCCCUGAGAGUUUUGCCUCAGAAGUAGAACCCAGUAGGUCUCAAAGGUUUGUUAUGUUACUUUUGGUCCCACUUCCCAGCAUCAGGGUCAGAGCUGUCCUUCACUUAAA